UACGUAGGGCGCAAGCGUUGUCCGGAAUUAUUGGGCGUAAAGAGCUCGUAGGCGGCUUGUCACGUCGGGUGUGAAAGCCCGGGGCUUAACCCCGGGUCUGCAUUCGAUACGGGCAGGCUAGAGUGUGGUAGGGGAGAUCGGAAUUCCUGGUGUAGCGGUGAAAUGCGCAGAUAUCAGGAGGAACACCGGUGGCGAAGGCAGCACUCUGGGACGUGACUGACGCUGAGACGCGAAAGCGUGGGGAGCAAACAGG
rnacentral:rRNA from 1 species